rnacentral:rRNA from 1 species
UGGGGAAUUUUGGACAAUGGGCGAAAGCCUGAUCCAGCAAUGCCGCGUGUGUGAAGAAGGCCUUCGGGUUGUAAAGCACUUUUGUCCGGAAAGAAAUCCUUGGCUCUAAUACAGUCGGGGGAUGACGGUACCGGAAGAAUAAGCACCGGCUAACUACGUGCCAGCAGCCGCGGUAAUACGUAGGGUGCAAGCGUUAAUCGGAAUUACUGGGCGUAAAGCGUGCGCAGGCGGUUUGCUAAGACCGAUGUGAAAUCCCCGGGCUCAACCUGGGAACUGCAUUGGUGACUGGCAGGCUAGAGUAUGGCAGAGGGGGGUAGAAUUCCACGUGUAGCAGUGAAAUGCGUAGAGAUGUGGAGGAAUACCGAUGGCGAAGGCAGCCCCCUGGGCCAAUACUGACGCUCAUGCACGAAAGCGUGGGGAGCAAACAGGAUUAGAUACCCUGGUAGUCCACGCCCUAAACGAUGUCAACUAGUUGUUGGGGAUUCAUUUCCUUAGUAACGUAGCUAACGCGUGAGGUUGACCGCCUGGGGAGUACGGUCGCAAGAUUAAAACUUAAAGGAAUUGACGGGGUCAUAGCUGUUUCCU